rnacentral:lncRNA from 10 species
CUUUGUCUCCACCAUGAUUGUGAGGCCUCCCCAGCCCUGUGGAACUAGAGAAACACGUACAACCCAGAGUUCAUCAUGGAACAGUAAUCAAUCAUUCUUAUAUCUGGUCAUUCAUCUAUUGAGCACCUACUAUGUGUCAGGUCUUACCCAAAUUGGUAAUGAGACAGAAAUGAAGAAGAUGCCUUUGACUUCAAGGACCAUACAGCUUCAAAAAUGAACGUGGGGAUAAAAAUGAUGUUGAAUUCUGACAGUUGGGGUAAGCAGAGCCAUAUGCAAUGUUCAGUGAACACCAAGGGGAAGCUGUGCAUAAACCAGGAAGAACCUUGCACAAGAAAUGUUGCUUAGAGCUGAGAUUGAUAUUUAAGAAGUGGAUUUAUGGACUCACUAGUACUAAGGAAAGCAGGGUUAUCAUCUCCCUCUCCUUGAACCCUAUACCAUAUUUCAUAAACACUGGCAUACAUAUUUAUUCCAUGUUUUAAUAUCUGGGAAAUAAGGAUGCAUCCCAGAGUUGCUGACAUCUUACAAUCACUGCUGACUGGCAGUCAGCCAUCAUUACCUAUACGGACACACUUGGUCAGAGCUGCUCAUACCACCAUCACUUCUACUGAGUUGUGCACAUUGCUGUUCCUACAAGUGCUGAGUUUGAUUGACGGUUAAAGGAUCUUCAAAAAGAUUACACCGUAAUUCAUCUUUGAAAUGAAAAGUUAUUUGCACUCAGAAAAGCCCAGAAACAGUGCAGCAUGAUAUUUGGAUACAAAUGCAUCUAAGAUAUUUCUUACUAAGUAGGAAACAAAAAUUCAAAGUGACAAGAAAUUAUUGUCAUAACUUUUACUUGGCAGCAUCUUUUUGUCCUGGUGGUACAUAAAAUAGUAGUACACCUUAUAUUAUACCUGAUGCCUCUUAGGCUAAGUGAGAUGUUGAAUUUCAGUUAAUCUAGGCAAAUCUCAUAUUUUUAGAAGCUUUAUUAACUCACAUUGAGCUUUGGGGGCACUUUAUGUGAUCCAAGCUGGUUUUGUGAACUCCUGCCAUGCUAUCCCUAUGCGAUUGACUCAAGACCUUACUUUUUUCCUAGCAAGAUAGCACUGGGCUAAAUUCAGCUCAGUGUUCCAGGCUGUUGAGAAUGGCUCGAAUUGUGAUUCAGUUAUCCCAUAUAUUAACCACCCCUUGUGUCAUCCGUGCUGACACUUCCUGGUCACCAAAGGAUGAUCUUAUUAUCUAAGCAUGUUAUUUAUAAGGAAUUUCACAGCUGAAGCAAGGUACAGAAUGACCUACUCUAAACCAAGAGCGAUUAACAAGUUUGGAGCCAAGCCAAACUCCAGAACAAGGUUGUUGUUGGCAUGAUUUUAAUCAUGAUAGACAAUUAGCCAAGCCUAAUUAUAUUGAGACGAGAAACCAGAGUGAGUGGCAGUAAUGAAUUUCUCUGGGAACUCCCUUGUGUCUCCAACUCAAACUGGAUGACCUAUAAAGGAUGUAAAAUGAUAAAAGAUGUUUGCCUACUUAUACAAGCUGUGUUUACCUCGAGGAGCAGCCCAUGUGGGGAAGGGGUCUGAAGGACUCUCUCUUCUAUGGGGACUCAUCACAAGACACAAAUGGGAUUCUCAGUUCCACUGGCAUUUUUGCUUCAGGAAGGAGAUGCAGAAGAGAGGAAACAUCUUUCAGCUGCACUUGGGCACAUUAAACGUUAAUGUGAUUAUGUAGCUGGGGAUUCUUUAAAUGUCGCCCAUGGCUGAAGUAUUACCGGAGUUGUGCAUUAGCACUUUUUGGUGUUAUAAAGGCUUAAUAUUUUCACUGACUGUGUCAAGCCCAAAUAGAAACCUGGAACUUCAAUAGAAUGAGAAAAUGAUUAGAAUGUAAAAAAAAAAAAAUUGUAACAAUUUGACACUUCUUGCCUCUAGGUUUAGAAAUGGAAUUCAAAAGGAAACUCUCCUUAAGUCUCUAGUCUCCUUUCCCAUUAUGGAUUUUAAUUGACUUAUUAUAAUUGAAAUAUAGAAGAAAGAAAAGUUCUAGAGAAUAACUGAAAUCUAUAGUUUAUAUAGUUCUUUAGAGUUCACAGAGUAUACUGACAUUUAAUUCUCACACCAGACCCCCACACGCACUUUGGAAGAAUAAACAGUUUUACCAUAUUUAAGCUGAAUAAACCGAGGUUCAGUG